AGAGUUUGAUCAUGGCUCAGAACGAACGCUGGCGGCAGGCCUAACACAUGCAAGUCGAACGAUAAGCCACCUUCGGGUGGUGGACAGUGGCAGACGGGUGAGUAACGCGUGGGAACGUGCCUUUCGGUUCGGAAUAACCCAGGGAAACUUGGGCUAAUACCGGAUACGCCCUUCGGGGGAAAGAUUCAUUGCCGAAAGAUCGGCCCGCGUCGGAUUAGCUAGUUGGUGGGGUAAUGGCUCACCAAGGCGACGAUCCGUAGCUGGUCUGAGAGGAUGACCAGCCGCACUGGGACUGAGACACGGCCCAGACUCCUACGGGAGGCAGCAGUGGGGAAUAUUGGACAAUGGGCGCAAGCCUGAUCCAGCCAUGCCGCGUGGGUGAAGAAGGCCUUAGGGUUGUAAACCCCUUUCAGCGGGGAAGAUAAUGACGGUACCCGCAGAAGAGCC
rnacentral:rRNA from 1 species